rnacentral:rRNA from 1 species
GGUUAAGCGACUAAGCGUACACGGUGGAUGCCCUGGCAGUCAGAGGCGAUGAAGGACGUGCUAAUCUGCGAUAAGCGUCGGUAAGGUGAUAUGAACCGUUAUAACCGGCGAUUUCCGAAUGGGGAAACCCAGUGUGAUUCGUCACACUAUCAUUAACUGAAUCCAUAGGUUAAUGAGGCGAACCGGGGGAACUGAAACAUCUAAGUACCCCGAGGAAAAGAAAUCAACCGAGAUUCCCCCAGUAGCGGCGAGCGAACGGGGAGCAGCCCAGAGCCUGAAUCAGUGUGUGUGUUAGUGGAAGCGUCUGGAAAGGCGCGCGAUACAGGGUGACAGCCCCGUACACAAAAAUGCACAUGCUGUGAGCUCGAUGAGUAGGGCGGGACACGUGGUAUCCUGUCUGAAUAUGGGGGGACCAUCCUCCAAGGCUAAAUACUCCUGACUGACCGAUAGUGAACCAGUACCGUGAGGGAAAGGCGAAAAGAACCCCGGCGAGGGGAGUGAAAAAGAACCUGAAACCGUGUACGUACAAGCAGUGGGAGCACGCUUAGGCGUGUGACUGCGUACCUUUUGUAUAAUGGGUCAGCGACUUAUAUUCUGUAGCAAGGUUAACCGAAUAGGGGAGCCGAAGGGAAACCGAGUCUUAACUGGGCGUUAAGUUGCAGGGUAUAGACCCGAAACCCGGUGAUCUAGCCAUGGGCAGGUUGAAGGUUGGGUAACACUAACUGGAGGACCGAACCGACUAAUGUUGAAAAAUUAGCGGAUGACUUGUGGCUGGGGGUGAAAGGCCAAUCAAACCGGGAGAUAGCUGGUUCUCCCCGAAAGCUAUUUAGGUAGCGCCUCGUGAAUUCAUCUCCGGGGGUAGAGCACUGUUUCGGCAAGGGGGUCAUCCCGACUUACCAACCCGAUGCAAACUGCGAAUACCGGAGAAUGUUAUCACGGGAGACACACGGCGGGUGCUAACGUCCGUCGUGAAGAGGGAAACAACCCAGACCGCCAGCUAAGGUCCCAAAGUCAUGGUUAAGUGGGAAACGAUGUGGGAAGGCCCAGACAGCCAGGAUGUUGGCUUAGAAGCAGCCAUCAUUUAAAGAAAGCGUAAUAGCUCACUGGUCGAGUCGGCCUGCGCGGAAGAUGUAACGGGGCUAAACCAUGCACCGAAGCUGCGGCAGCGAC